UACGUAGGGUGCGAGCGUUGUCCGGAAUUACUGGGCGUAAAGAGCUCGUAGGUGGUUUGUCGCGUUGUUCGUGAAAACUCACAGCUCAACUGUGGGCGUGCGGGCGAUACGGGCAGACUGGAGUACUGCAGGGGAGACUGGAAUUCCUGGUGUAGCGGUGGAAUGCGCAGAUAUCAGGAGGAACACCGGUGGCGAAGGCGGGUCUCUGGGCAGUAACUGACGCUGAGGAGCGAAAGCGUGGAGAGCGAACAGG
rnacentral:rRNA from 1 species